CCUUACGGGCGGUGAGUGCAACUGACGCUGAGGCUCGAAAGUGUGGGUAUCAAACAGGAUUAGAUACCCUGGUAGUCCACACAGUAAACGAUGAAUACUCGCGGUUGGUUCGUUAGAGUCAGCCGCCAAGCGAAAGCGUUAAGUAUUCCACCUGGGGAGUACGCCGGCAACGGUGAAACUCAAAGGAAUUGACGGGGGCCCGCACAAGCGGAGGAACAUGUGGUUUAAUUCGAUGAUACGCGAGGAACCUUACCCGGGCUUGAACUGCCAGUGACUCAUGCAGAGACGCAUGUUUCUUCGGACACUGGCGGAGGUGCUGCAUGGUUGUCGUCAGCUCGUGCCGUGAGGUGUCGGCUUAAGUGCCAUAACGAGCGCAACCCUUCUCCCUGUUUGCCAUCGGGUUAAGCCGGGCACUCCAGGGACACUGCCAUCGUAAGAUGUGGGGAAGGUGGGGAUGACGUCAAAUCAGCACGGCCCUUACGUCCGGGGCUACACACGUGUUACAAUGGGCGGUACAGAAAGCAGCUACCCCGCGAGGGGAUGCCAAUCUCAAAAACCGUUCUCAGUUCGGACUGGAGUCUGCAACCCGACUCCACGAAGCUGGAUUCGCUAGUAAUCGCGCAUCAGCCAUGGCGCGGUGAAUACGUUCCCGGGCCUUGCACACACCGCCCGUA
rnacentral:rRNA from 1 species